UCAUCCGGCUUUCUUUCUCCCAGCAGACGCCCGCCCGCCUGGCCUGGCAGCCAUGAGGCCCCCAUGGUGUGGCCUGCGAGUGCGCUCCCGGCCUUCCCUCCUCCUCCUCCUCCUCCUCUCCCUCCUGGGUGGAGGACUGGAGGUGGAGGGGCGGGAGGAUCCAGAGCUGCUGGUGACCGUCCGGGGAGGCCACCUGCGCGGGAUUCGCCUGAAGGCGCCUGGGGGCCCUGUGUCCGCGUUUCUGGGCAUCCCCUUCGCGGAGCCACCUGUAGGUCCCCGUCGAUUUCUGCCACCAGAGCCCAAGCGGCCCUGGCCAGGAGUACUGGACGCCACGACCUUCCAGAAUGUCUGCUAUCAAUACGUGGACACCCUGUACCCUGGUUUUGAGGGCACCGAGAUGUGGAACCCCAACCGUGAGCUGAGCGAGGACUGCCUGUACCUCAAUGUGUGGACACCGUACCCCCGGCCUGCAACCCCUGCACCAGUCCUCGUCUGGAUCUACGGAGGCGGCUUCUACAGCGGGGCCUCCUCCCUGGACGUGUACGACGGCCGCUUCCUGGCGCGGGCCGAGGGCACCGUGCUGGUAUCCAUGAACUACCGAGUGGGAAGUUUUGGCUUCUUGGCCCUGCCAGGAAGCAGAGAGGCCCCAGGCAACGUGGGCUUACUGGAUCAGAGGCUCGCACUGCAGUGGGUCCGAGAGAAUGUGGCAGUCUUUGGGGGGGACCCGGCGUCGGUGACCCUGUUUGGGGAGAGUGCAGGGGCAGCCUCUGUGGGCAUGCACCUGCUGUCCCCGCCCAGCCGGAGCCUCUUCCACAGGGCCAUCCUGCAGAGCGGGACCCCUAACGGGCCCUGGGCCACUGUGGGGGUGGGAGAGGCGCGUCGCAGGGCCACGCUGCUGGCCCGCCUCGUGGGUUGUCCCCCAGGCGGCACCGGCAGCAAUGACACAGAGCUAGUGGCCUGCCUGCGGACUCGGCCAGCUCAGGACCUGGUGGACCACGAGUGGCAUGUGUUACCUCAAGAAAGCAUCUUCCGCUUCUCCUUCGUGCCCGUGGUCGAUGGGGACUUCCUCAGUGACACCCCCGAGGCCCUGACCACCACCGGAGACUUCCACGGCUUGCAGGUGACGUGAGGGUGGGGGAGCUGGCGCCUCUGGGUCUCACCUGGCCCCCUCCCUUCACCCCAGGGAUCCAGGCAUGAGGGCCCCUUCACACCCACUCUCAGUGGUCCAGACUUAUGAGCCCAGGGCCACCUCCCCCCCCAAA